rnacentral:rRNA from 1 species
AGUUUGAUCCUGGCUCAGGAUGAACGCUGGCGGCGUGCCUAAUACAUGCAAGUCGAGCGAACGGACGAGAAGCUUGCUUCUCUGAUGUUAGCGGCGGACGGGUGAGUAACACGUGGAUAACCUACCUAUAAGACUGGGAUAACUUCGGGAAACCGGAGCUAAUACCGGAUAAUAUUUUGAACCGCAUGGUUCAAAAGUGAAAGACGGUCUUGCUGUCACUUAUAGAUGGAUCCGCGCUGCAUUAGCUAGUUGGUAAGGUAACGGCUUACCAAGGCAACGAUGCAUAGCCGACCUGAGAGGGUGAUCGGCCACACUGGAACUGAGACACGGUCCAGACUCCUACGGGAGGCAGCAGUAGGGAAUCUUCCGCAAUGGGCGAAAGCCUGACGGAGCAACGCCGCGUGAGUGAUGAAGGUCUUCGGAUCGUAAAACUCUGUUAUUAGGGAAGAACAUAUGUGUAAGUAACUGUGCACAUCUUGACGGUACCUAAUCAGAAAGCCACGGCUAACUACGUGCCAGCAGCCGCGGUAAUACGUAGGUGGCAAGCGUUAUCCGGAAUUAUUGGGCGUAAAGCGCGCGUAGGCGGUUUUUUAAGUCUGAUGUGAAAGCCCACGGCUCAACCGUGGAGGGUCAUUGGAAACUGGAAAACUUGAGUGCAGAAGAGGAAAGUGGAAUUCCAUGUGUAGCGGUGAAAUGCGCAGAGAUAUGGAGGAACACCAGUGGCGAAGGCGACUUUCUGGUCUGUAACUGACGCUGAUGUGCGAAAGCGUGGGGAUCAAACAGGAUUAGAUACCCUGGUAGUCCACGCCGUAAACGAUGAGUGCUAAGUGUUAGGGGGUUUCCGCCCCUUAGUGCUGCAGCUAACGCAUUAAGCACUCCGCCUGGGGAGUACGACCGCAAGGUUGAAACUCAAAGGAAUUGACGGGGACCCGCACAAGCGGUGGAGCAUGUGGUUUAAUUCGAAGCAACGCGAAGAACCUUACCAAAUCUUGACAUCCUUUGACAACUCUAGAGAUAGAGCCUUCCCCUUCGGGGGACAAAGUGACAGGUGGUGCAUGGUUGUCGUCAGCUCGUGUCGUGAGAUGUUGGGUUAAGUCCCGCAACGAGCGCAACCCUUAAGCUUAGUUGCCAUCAUUAAGUUGGGCACUCUAAGUUGACUGCCGGUGACAAACCGGAGGAAGGUGGGGAUGACGUCAAAUCAUCAUGCCCCUUAUGAUUUGGGCUACACACGUGCUACAAUGGACAAUACAAAGGGCAGCGAAACCGCGAGGUCAAGCAAAUCCCAUAAAGUUGUUCUCAGUUCGGAUUGUAGUCUGCAACUCGACUACAUGAAGCUGGAAUCGCUAGUAAUCGUAGAUCAGCAUGCUACGGUGAAUACGUUCCCGGGUCUUGUACACACCGCCCGUCACACCACGAGAGUUUGUAACACCCGAAGCCGGUGGAGUAACCUUUUAGGAGCUAGCCGUCGAAGGUGGGACAAAUGAUUGGGGUGAAGUCGUAACAAGGUAGCCGUAUCGGAAGGUGCGGCUGGAUCACCUCCUUUCU